rnacentral:lncRNA from 1 species
UUUAAGCGAGAUAUCACUUUUUUUUAACAGAAAGCGGGAUAUCAAUUAUCUAGGGUUCUGAUUCUGAACUUUGCUCCCCAAAAUCUCCAAUUCUCUAGAAGCAUCACCUCUGCUCCACCAUCACUAAUCGAAUCUUCCUCCACUCCACCAUCACUAAUUGAAUCAUCCUCCCAUCCAAAACCCUAAUCGAUCCAAAACCCUAAUUGCUCCCAAAAGUGGCGACCGUAGGACUUUAGCAAUGAGCUAAUGAUUUCUUAGGGUUCAGUUUGUUGUGAACUAUGACCAACAUUUUGUUAUUCUUAAUCGAAGGUAUGUGUUGGCAUUUUAGCCAGCUGUGGGAUCAGGGUGUUACAAACAGCAUUGAAGCAGUGGCAUGCAGUAAUGAUUCUCUUGGGGUUGAGAAAGUGCAAGGAUAGUCAUCAUGGCUUACCAAGGAGGUAACCUAAAGUCUACAUCUAUAAAUGGAGUGAAGAUGUAUACAGUAGUGGCUCAACACCGCUCGCUGGCCACUUAGCUCCCGCCGAAGAAGCUUAGAGCUCUUCGUAAGGAUAAAACCAAGAGCCGGGGGCAAUAAUAGAAGAAAAGUAUACUGUUUUGGCAAUGUUAGUGACACUCGUGUACAUAGCAGAGAGAAGACCUUGAGAUUGAAAAGUUGAACUUAGUUAUAAGGAGCUCAUUAAGGAAACAGAUGAAGAAAAAGAAAGGUUAAAUGGGAUUAUUGCGGGGUUGUUGGCUGGAAAAGAAAACGAUAAGGUGGAGAAAGAUACUAUGCUUGAUAGGAUGUCACAAAUUGAAGCUAUGUUAACAAGUACAAUUCGAAAAUAGGCUACAAACACUUGGUUUUAAAUGUUUCGAUGUUUAUCAUAUUAGGAUAAUUUUAGUUAUCUGAUGUUUUAGCUAGUAUUUCUAUUAGAAUGUUUUAUAUGCUUUUGAUACAGAGAUGUUUUAUUUAAUUUUGGGUUUUCGUGAUCU